CGCCACAAAUAUGUGUCAACUAAAUGGAUUAAUAUUAGAAACAUUAAAUUCUCCACUUUAGGCUAUAGAGAAACGAAUAAUAGCCGGAUAAAACAGGCUGUGAGCUUUCGUUUGUGAUAAUAUUGGAUAGCUACUGUCAUUUUAUGAUAUUUUACAUUAUUUCUAGUUCAUCGAGUCUUUUUAUCAUUGCUUAGGAGUUUUUUCUGUCCUCCAAACAUGGCAUUAGAGUUACAACGUUAGUUCCUCUUGCAAAUCUUUAUUUGUAUACGUGUUGAUAAAUCAACGAAAUGAUCUCAUAUGACAGUUAAACAUUGGCUGUAAAUAGGUCUUUCUAAAAAAAUAAUGGGCCAAAGUGUGACAUUGGCAUAAACAUUUCAAAAUGGUUUGAAACGAAAAAAAAAAUUCAAAUCAUUACCUGUUUUUAUAAUGAUAAAGUGACCAUAAACCAGGUUCCCAUCUUAAUAGAAGGAUUUGUAUGGAAAGCCAAGUUGAAGUCAGCAUUACCUGUUGUCGUCCUCAUAAUAACCGCACGACACCCUUCAAUUGAAGUGACGGGAAACAAAUGAAAGUGGACACAUCUCUCACAAAAAACGGAUCAAAAAGGAAAUCUUGGCUAAUUAUGAGGGAGCGGGAGCUAAUAAAUUGGCUACAACUUUUCAAGCACCAAAUUGAGGAAAUGUCUGGUUUACAAGAAUGCGAGCUGAUCAAGGGGGUCGAUGCGAGCUGAUCAAGGGGGUCAAAAAUGUAGAUGUAUGUUCACUGUCCGAGGAACAGGCCAUAGAAGCUUUCUUGCUGGCAAUGGUGUCCAUAACCAGAGAUUCAGCAGGUGGAGGACCUGCUUUAUCAGGAGGAUAAUCUGGAAUCUGGAAACACUGACAAUGGGGUCAUUGUUCCUGACAUCCCAUGCCUCCUGUCUACUGAGACUCUUGCUGUGCUGCAACGUCAAGUGAACCCUACCACUGACUCCUCAUCUUUUGGUCAGGACAUAUACAUGCAUGCUCUUCGAUUAGUUAUGAGUCUCCAGCCUUUUUAGGUGCAGUUCUCCCACACUAUGUAGGAUGUUGUUUUCGCAUCAGUGCCACUCAUGAUAAUGGCAAACAUUUGUAUUUUUUGGAGGAGGGUGAAAGGAUAGUAGGCCCAGCUGUCAAAGUGAGAGAGUAGGCUAUUAUGGACAGAACAGGUACUUUUGUGUAGUCUAUUUCUUGUGAGGUUGUCUGUCCUCAGAUACGGAGAGCUGUGAAAGCCUGUCUGCAGAUUAAGAGGUCCCAAUGAAGAGCAGCGGUUCUCAGUUCUGGUCCUGGGGACUCAAAGGGGUGCACAUUUUUGUUUUUGCCUUAGCACUACACAGCUGAUUCAAAUGAUCAAGUCAUCAUCAAGCUUCAAGUGGUAUUUAUGUAUUCAUUUGUGACACUAUCCUUGAUACGAUCCUGCUAUUGUCACAUGCUGCACAUGUAUCUAUCCAUCCGAUGUUAUCAUGAUUUGUUAUCAGGGAUAUUAUACUUAUACAGGAAGUAUUAUUACAGAGAUGCUUUACAUUGCUUUACAUUGAAAUACAGAUAGAGAUGUAGUCGUCCCAGAGUUAAAGAUCCAAGGUCAGUUUUGCAUUUCACCUCCUGAUGAUUAUGAUGACUGACCGUGUUAGCAUGAUUUAAGCUUUGUUUUUUUAAAAUUCUAUCAAUCUGUCUCUCGUCUGCAGGUAUGUUUUGAUGUGAGAGAGGAAGCCAGUCCCGUCAUCGCCACCUCACCCGCUCUUAUGAUAACCUUCGGGCCGACUGGGAGCCCAAGGCUGGUUAGGAGUUACUGCAAGAGACACUGUGUAAUUGUGAUGAACUGAGAGAAUAUUAGGGUAGCACUGUAAUUCAUUAAUCAUAUGCUCUUUCCUGCUCCUCUGUUUUACCUCUCUCCCCACCUCCUCUUUCUUCCUCUUUUUUUAUAAUGCACGCCAUAUGUGCAUUGAAGUACAGAUUGAACUUGUAUUUGUAAUAUGACAUUACAAUUAUAAUAUUUAUAAUGCAUGUAUAAUGAUUUUAUAACACCUGGACAAUGAACUUUCAAUAAAGUGUUUCACAUUCUCCACUGGUUGAAAUUAAGUAUGUCAUUAAAAUACUACACCUAUCCUGUGUCCUCAGA